rnacentral:rRNA from 1 species
GACGAACGCUGGCGGCGUGCUUAACACAUGCAAGUCGAACGGUAAGGCUCCAGCUUGCUGGGGUACACGAGUGGCGAACGGGUGAGUAACACGUGGGUGACCUGCCCUGCACUUCGGGAUAAGCCUGGGAAACUGGGUCUAAUACCGGAUAGGACCAUGGUGUGGAUACUGUGGUGGAAAGUUUUUUCGGUGUGGGGUGGGCCCGCGGCCUAUCAGCUUGUUGGUGGGGUAAUGGCCUACCAAGGCGGCGACGGGUAGCCGGCCUGAGAGGGUGGACGGCCACAUUGGGACUGAGACACGGCCCAGACUCCUACGGGAGGCAGCAGUGGGGAAUAUUGCACAAUGGGCGGAAGCCUGAUGCAGCGACGCCGCGUGGGGGAUGACGGCCUUCGGGUUGUAAACUCCUUUCACCAUCGACGAAGGGUUUCUGACGGUAGAUGGAGAAGAAGCACCGGCUAACUACGUG